UAGUUUGUGAAAUAAAAUUAAUUGAGAAGGAAAAAACGAAGAUUGUGACAUUCACUGUUCUUUGCCUUUAACCUUCAUAUAGUCUAGUAGAUCCUUGCCACACAUCUGAAAUUAGUAUUUUCAAUUUGGCGACCUUACUGGUGCGUAGCUUUGCAUACAAGAGGUCCCAGAUUCGAUUCCCAAUCGGGUCUAUUUAAAAACAAAUUUUUCGGAAUUAGAUCGAGUCGGAAUAUUCUGUAUAUUGUGUUGUGCCCCCAGGUGUUCUCUGGCUGGUUUUCCAUAACACCUGUAUCGGUAUUCUAAUUUGAAGAUCCAAGUGAAGAGAAGAAUUCCAAGUGAAGCAACCCCGCCUUCGCUAACGGUAUACGCUGACGAAGCUCCAGUAAGAAUGAAAAGGCAGGUUUCGCAAGAGGAGAAUAAGAGACCUUAUUGGUCGAGGGAAGAGAAGCAGCAUCCUUCUUUAAAUAUUACCAAACCCUAACUACUUUCUAACCCGCCUUCUAAUUGUGGCAACUACUGGCAAAACCUUUAAAUAAGAGGAGUCUAUUUUCAGCAGUGGACAAUUAACGGCCGACAUGAUGAUGAUGAUGGCUGAAAAUUACCAUGACCUUGUUUUCUUAAAACAUAAUUGUAUGAUGGUUAGUAGUACAGCAUUACAUUGUCUUUUGAAUGGUUGACGGAAAUUUCGAUGAACUCAUAGACUCAUUAUAAAAUAAUCACGCAGAUGAGAUCAA